rnacentral:rRNA from 1 species
UACGAAGGGGGCUAGCGUUGUUCGGAUUUACUGGGCGUAAAGCGCACGUAGGCGGACAUUUAAGUCAGGGGUGAAAUCCCAGAGCUCAACUCUGGAACUGCCUUUGAUACUGGAUGUCUGGAGUAUGGAAGAGGUAAGUGGAAUUCCGAGUGUAGAGGUGAAAUUCGUAGAUAUUCGGAGGAACACCAGUGGCGAAGGCGGCUUACUGGUCCAUUACUGACGCUGAGGUGCGAAAGCGUGGGGAGCAAACAGG